UCAGAAAGCCACGAGUUCCCUACGCCGGUGGUGUGGCUUACAAGCAAGAUCCUGCCAGGGGACGCUCGGCUUGGUAACCAAAUGAAUAGGAUGUUGUCUGCAGUCGGGAUGAAUGAACUCCCCGUUCCCAGUUUCAGUGUUCCUCGGUUGUCAGAACUCGAACGGAGCAGACAGGUGAGGCCUGUUGUGGCGCCAGGACUGUGGAUGGCUGCUGUGGCCCGCGGCCAGAAGACCCACUUUCCACAUUUAACCUCCUGGCUCCAGGUUCCACCGCACCUACCAAUGAAAACAAGAGCUCAGCGUGAUGCAGCGGCCUGGAAAUCUCCACUGGGACGGGAUGGCACCAGCGCUCCUAAUUAAUUUUUAUUUAAAGAAUGGGAGAGGCAUUAAACUCCCCGUCACAUGAGGACACGGCUGCCAAAAAGUGUUUUUUUUUUUUUUUUGGAAGUGGUUGUAAUACAGUGAAUUUACUGUACAGUAAUAAAUAUCAAAUAUUUAAGAAGUCAUAUAGUUGAUUUUUAAAGUACAGUAAUAACAAAGCAUAUCUGGAAUCAGCCAAUAGUGUUUUAAAAUUGUCUCUGGUCCAAUUAGGCCAAUAUUUGAACUUUUUGUGUGUCAGAUUUAAAAAGUGGCUGACAGUUAUUCAUUGUGUGUGUUAUUUUAAUGUUUCAUAAUCUUUUAAAAGAAAAAAAAAACUCUAGAUUGUCCAUUGUGAUUACUUUUAUAAACAACAAACCAAAUAUAAUUUGCCAGUCUAUUGAUUUUUAGCUAUAGAAUAAAAAAGUUCUUUGUGGUUGCUAUGUAGUUACUAGGGUGUUCUGAGUGUAUUAGACUGGUUCGCUAUGAUGUUAUGGUGUUGUCUUCCUGUCUAGCAUAAAAGAGUCUCCUCUUAUGUCUCUUCAAUAUUUUGAGUGGUUGCUACGCCGUUGCUAGGUGGUUGCUAUGUAGUUACUAGGGUGUUCUGAGUGGAUAACAUGCAAUUGCUACAGCGUUAUGGUGUUUUCUUCCUGUCUAGCAUGAAAAUAACCCCUUCUUAAGUGUGCGUGAUAUUUAAGGUUGUUGCUAGGGUGUUGCUAAGUGGUUGCUAUGGUAUUCUGGGUGAUUGCUGUGAAGUUACUAGGAUGUUCUGAGUGGAUAAUGUGCAGUUGCCAUGGCGUUAUGGUGUUUUCUUCUUGUCUAUCAUGAAAAUAGUGCCUUCUCAAGUGUCUGUGAUAUUCGGGGUGGUUGCUAAGGUGUUGCUAGGUGGUUGCUAUGUAGUUACUAAGGUGUUCAGAGUGGAUAACAUGCAGUUGUUAUGGUGUUAUGGUAUUCUCUUUCUGUCUAUCAUUAAAAGAGUCCCUCCUUAAGUCUUUGUGAUAUUCGGGGUGGUUGCUAAGGUGUUGCUAGGGUAUUCUGGGCGGUUGCUAUGCAGUUACUAAGGGUUUGGAGUGGAUGCUGUGCAGUUGCUAUGGCGUUAAGGCGCUUUCUUCCUGUCUAACAUGAAAAUAGUCCCUUCUUAAGUGUCUUUGAUAUUCGGGGUGGUUGCUAAGGUGUUGCUAGGGUAUUCUGGGUGGUUGCUAUGUAGUUUCUAGGGUGUUCGGAGUGGAUGCUGUGCAGUUGCUAUGGUGUUAAGGUGUUUUCUUCCUGUCUAACAUGAAAAUAGUCCCUUCUCAAGUGUCUGUGAUAUUCGGGGUGGUUGCUAAGGUGUUGCUAGGUGGUUGCUAUGUAGUUACUAAGGUGUUCAGAGUGGAUAACAUGCAGUUGUUAUGGUGCUAUGGUAUUCUCUUUCUGUCUAUCAUUAAAAGAGUCCCUUCUUAAGUCUUUGUGAUAUUUGGGGUUGUUGCUAAGGUGUUGCUAGGGUAUUCUGGGCGGUUGCUAUGUAGUUACUAAGGGUUUGGAGUGGAUGCUGUGCAGUUGCUAUGGCGUUAAGGUGUUUUCUUCCUGUCUAACAUGAAAAUAGUCCCUUCUUAAGUGUCUGUGAUAUACGGGGUGGUUGCUAAGGUGUUGCUAGGGUAUUCUGGGUGGUUGCUAUGUAGUUACUAGGGUGUUCGGAGUGGAUGCUGUGCAGUUGCUAUGGCGUUAAGGUGUUUUCUUUCUGUCUAGCAUGAAAGAAGUUCCCUCUUAUCUAUGUGGGUGUGGUGUUAAUUUCUAAUCAUCUAAAUUAUGUAAACGCAAUAAUAAUUUAAUGCAUCAAGUAAUGGAUGUCUUGUGGUGUAUUUUGAUUGAACAAUCUGUGUAAAUAUUAAAAUGUACUGAAUGGA